CCUUGCCGCUCUUACCAAUUCUUCCAAGUGGAUGGGACCAUCGUAACACCAGACGGACCAGAGUCGUGGCCGAGCAAUGUGAGUAAGAGACAGUGGCUUGUCUUCUAUAGAGUCGACGGAAUGGCUUUGAAAGGCGCCGGAGUUAUCGACGGCCGGGGACAAAAAUGGUGGGAUCUUCCCUGUAAACCUCACCGGACUGUCAAUAAAUCAGCAAUUGUUGCCGGCCCUUGCGACAGCCCCAUUGUAAGU